UAAACUAGGAUUAGAUACCCUAUUAUUCUAAAUUAUAAUAAGAUAAUGAAUUUUWNAUUAACAAAAUUGGCGGNUCUUUUACUUAUUAGAGGAAUUUGUUUUUAAUAAGGAUUUGACCCCAAUUUAUUCACUUUGAUUAAAGUUUUUAUAUCGCUGUUGUUAAAAUAUAUUUGAAUGAGAUAUUUAAAAUUUAUAAAAUAAAGUACUUCAAGUCAAGGUGAAACUAUAUUAAAGUAAAAAUGAAUUACAAUAAAAAAUUUUAUUAUGGAUUAAAAAUGUAAAUUUUUAGGAAGGUGGAUUUAAAAGUAAGAUUGAUGAAAUCUUGAAUAAGGUUCAUAAGAAUGCACAUAUUGCCCGUC
rnacentral:rRNA from 1 species